CCUUAGAGUUUGAUCCUGGCUCAGGAUGAACGCUAGCUACAGGCUUAACACAUGCAAGUCGAGGGGCAGCAUGACCUAGCAAUAGGUUGAUGGCGACCGGCGCACGGGUGAGUAACACGUAUCCAACCUGCCGAUUAUUCCGGGAUAGCCUUUCGAAAGAAAGAUAAAUACCGGAUAGCAUAACGAAAAGGCAUCUUUUUGUUAUUAAAGAAUUUCGAUAACCGAUGGGGAUGCGUUCCAUUAGUUUGUUGGCGGGGUAACGGCCCACCAAGACAUCGAUGGAUAGGGGUUCUGAGAGGAAGGUCCCCCACAUUGGAACUGAGACACGGUCCAAACUCCUACGGGAGGCAGCAGUGAGGAAUAUUGGUCAAUGGACGAGAGUCUGAACCAGCCAAGUAGCGUGAAGGAUGACUGCCCUAUGGGUUGUAAACUUCUUUUAUAUGGGAAUAAAGUGAGCCACGUGUGGCUUUUUGUAUGUACCAUACGAAUAAGGAUCGGCUAACUCCGUGCCAGCAGCCGCGGUAAUACGGAGGAUCCGAGCGUUAUCCGGAUUUAUUGGGUUUAAAGGGAGCGUAGGCGGAAGCUUAAGUCAGUUGUGAAAGUUUGCGGCUCAACCGUAAAAUUGCAGUUGAUACUGGGUUUCUUGAGUGCAGUAGAGGUAGGCGGAAUUCGUGGUGUAGCGGUGAAAUGCUUAGAUAUCACGAAGAACUCCGAUUGCGAAGGCAGCUUACUGGACUGUAACUGACGCUGAUGCUCGAAAGUGUGGGUAUCAAACAGGAUUAGAUACCCUGGUAGUCCACACAGUAAA
rnacentral:rRNA from 1 species